GACGAACGCUGGCGGCGUGCUUAACACAUGCAAGUCGAACGGAAAGGCCCUGCUUUUGUGGGGUGCUCGAGUGGCGAACGGGUGAGUAACACGUGAGUAACCUGCCCUUGACUUUGGGAUAACUUCAGGAAACUGGGGCUAAUACCGGAUAGGAGCUCCUGCUGCAUGGUGGGGGUUGGAAAGUUUCGGCGGUUGGGGAUGGACUCGCGGCUUAUCAGCUUGUUGGUGGGGUAGUGGCUUACCAAGGCAUUGACGGGUAGCCGGCCUGAGAGGGUGACCGGCCACAUUGGGACUGAGAGACGGCCCAGACUCCUACGGGAGGCAGCAGGGGGGAAUAUUGCACAAUGGGCGGAAGCCUGAUGCAGCGACGCCGCGUGCGGGAUGACGGCCUUCGGGUUGUAAACCGCUUUCGCCUGUGACGAAGCGUGAGUGACGGUAAUGGGUAAAGAAGCACCGGCUAACUACGUG
rnacentral:rRNA from 1 species